rnacentral:rRNA from 1 species
CCGACUGCUAUCGGAUGAUACUAAGCCAUGCGAGUCUUUGUAGUAAUACAAGGCAGACGGCUCAGUAACACGUAGUCAACCUACCCUAUGGACAAGAAUAAUCUCGGGAAACUGGGCAUAAUUCUUGAUAGAUCAUAAUGCCUGGAAUGGUUUAUGGUUAAAAUGAUUCGUCGCCAUAGGAUGGGACUGCGGCCUAUCAGCUUGUUGGUGAGGUAAUGGCCCACCAAGGCGAUUACAGGUACGGGCUCUGAGAGGAGAAGCCCGGAGAUGGGUACUGAGACACGGACCCAGGCCCUAUGGGGCGCAGCAGGCGAGAAAACUUUGCAAUGUGCGAAAGCACGACAAGGUUAAUCCGAGUGAUUUCUGCUAAAGAAAUCUUUUGCCAGUCAUAAAACCACUGGUGAAUAAGGGGUGGGCAAGUUCUGGUGUCAGCCGCCGCGGUAAAACCAGCACCUCAAGUGGUCAGGAUGAUUAUUGGGCCUAAAGCAUCCGUAGCCGGCUUUGUUAGUUUUCGGUUAAAUCCAUGUGCUCAACGCAUGGGCUGCCGAAAAUACUGCAUAGCUAGGGAGUGGGAGAGGUAGACGGUACUCAGUAGGAAGGGGUAAAAUCCUUUGAUCUAUUGAUGACCACCUGUGGCGAAGGCGGUCUACCAGAACACGUUCGACGGUGAGGGAUGAAAGCUGGGGGAGCAAACCGGAUUAGAUACCCGGGUAGUCCCAGCUGUAAACGAUGCAGACUCGAUGAUGCAUUGGCAUAAUAGCCAGUGCAGUGUCGCAGGGAAGCCGUUAAGUCUGCCGCCUGGGAAGUACGUACGCAAGUAUGAAACUUAAAGGAUUGGCGGGGAGCACCACAAGGGUGAAGCCUGCG